AGAGCUUUUCGGCCUUUUGGGGAAACUCAAGUGUAGUGUGUGUUCUUACCAGUUCUUACCUGAUAGGUGGCUGCAACGAUUUGCUGUUAAAUAGGAUUGUGAAGACGGGAAAUGCUUCAGGAGCUUGCUGCAGCUGCUUCACAGGCGGCCCUGGUGCCGCAAUGCCUCCUGGCACACUGUUAGCCCUGC
rnacentral:snRNA from 1 species